rnacentral:rRNA from 1 species
CGAACGCUGGCGGCAGGCCUACCACAUGCAAGUCGAACGAACCUUUCGGGGUUAGUGGCGGACGGGUGAGUAACACGUGGGAACGUGCCUUUAGGUUCGGAAUAACUCAGGGAAACUUGUGCUAAUACCGAAUGUGCCCUUCGGGGGAAAGAUUAAUCGCCUUUAGAGCGGCCCGCGUCUGAUUAGCUAGUUGGUUGAGGUAAUGGCUCACCAAGGCGACGAUCAGUAGCUGGUCUGAGAGGAUGAUCAGCCACAUUGGGACUGAGACACGGCCCAAACUCCUACGGGAGGCAGCAGUGGGGAAUCUUGCGCAAUGGGCGAAAGCCUGACGCAGCCAUGCCGCGUGAAUGAUGAAGGUCUUAGGAUUGUAAAAUUCUUUCACCGGGGACGAUAAUGACGGUACCCGGAGAAGAAGCCCCGGCUAACUUCGUG